AUAAACUGUGAUGAUAAUUUCACAAACAGAUUAAUCUAUCAGAAGAUUUGCAGGAGAAACAAGUCAUGUCCAAAAAGAGCAGUAUCAUCAUCAAUCCAUCAUCAACGUGCUUAAGCUAAAAUCUAUUUUCAACUUGAUUUGAUAAUAAAGCAGCUAUAGAAAACAUCGUAUUACAGAAGAAAGAAGCUCAAGGAAAGCAGUCCAACUAUUUCCAUGGCAUCAGGGACAAGGAUUCAUCGACAAGAGAGCACAAUUUUCUAAAAACUGCUCAAAGGCUGACUCCCAAGUCUCAACAUCGGAAGUGGCGUCUUCCACAAGCUCAAAUAGUUGAUGCUUUGGUGUUGCCUGAUAUGAAUGGUUUUGGGGCGAUGUUCUUGCUAGGUGCCAGAAUCCAAGUCUAGAAGGGUUGAUAUUUUUAAGGAUGUUGAACAGAUGAGGAAGAAGACCAUUAAAGAGGAAAAAAAGAAUAUUAAUGGUUGAUGACAAGAAAAAGAAGAUAGCAGAUGAGGAGAAAAAGAAGACUAAUGGCUCAUGACAAGAAAAAGAAGAUGGCUUCAUUUAUGGUUUGGAUGUUGUAAUUAGUUCUCAUUUAUGUUUUCUUUUUUAAAUUCAUGUUUUUAGGGUCACUAUGAUAUAAGAGUGUGGCUAUGGUUUUUUUCAUCUCUCAAAAUAUAUAGAGAUCAAACAGAAGACAGCACAUAGUUACUAGUAUGUAGAUUAUCUUAUUAUGAAUUUGAUUACUUAGCUUGAUCUAUACUAAAUGUCUCAUAGUGACCUUUUUAUCGAGAUAGUAACUGUGAAUUUUUAUGAAA